rnacentral:rRNA from 1 species
UACAGAGGGGGCAAGCGUUGUCCGGAAUUACUGGGCGUAAAGGGCGCGUAGGCGGCCUUCUAAGUCAGACGUGAAAUCCCUCGGCUCAACCGGGGAACUGCGUCUGAUACUGGGUGGCUUGAAUCCGGGAGAGGGAUGCGGAAUUCCAGGUGUAGCGGUGAAAUGCGUAGAUAUCUGGAGGAACACCGGUGGCGAAGGCGGCAUCCUGGACCGGUAUUGACGCUGAGGCGCGAAAGCCAGGGGAGCAAACGGG